rnacentral:rRNA from 1 species
AUUGAACGCUGGCGGCAUGCCUUACACAUGCAAGUCGAACGGCAGCACGGGAGCAAUCCUGGUGGCGAGUGGCGAACGGGUGAGUAAUAUAUCGGAACGUGCCCAGUCGUGGGGAUAACGUAGCGAAAGCUACGCUAAUACCGCAUACGAUCUAUGGAUGAAAGCGGGGGAUCGCAAGACCUCGCGCGAUUGGAGCGGCCGAUAUCAGAUUAGGUAGUUGGUGAGGUAAAGGCUCACCAAGCCGACGAUCUGUAGCUGGUCUGAGAGGACGACCAGCCACACUGGGACUGAGACACGGCCCAGACUCCUACGGAGGCAGCAGUGGGGAAUUUUGGGACAAUGGGCGCAAGCCUGAUCCAGCAAUGCCGCGUGCAGGAUGAAGGCC